rnacentral:rRNA from 1 species
AUUGAACGCUGGCGGAAUGCUUUACACAUGCAAGUCGAACGGUAGAGGGGGCAACCCCUUGAGAGUGGCGAACGGGUGAGUAAUAUAUCGGAACGUGCCCAGUCGUGGGGAUAACGUAGCGAAAGUUACGCUAAUACCGCAUACGAUCUAAGGAUGAAAGCGGGGGACUCGCAAGAGCCUCGCGCGAUUGGAGCGGCCGAUAUCAGAUUAGGUAGUUGGUGGGGUAAAGGCUCACCAAGCCAACGAUCAGUAGCUGGUCUGAGAGGACGACCAGCCACACUGGAACUGAGACACGGUCCAGACUCCUACGGGAGGCAGCAGUGGGGAAUUUUGGACAAUGGACGCAAGUCUGAUCCAGCCAUUCCGCGUGCAGGACUGAAGG